rnacentral:rRNA from 1 species
GACGAACGCUGGCGGCGUGCUUAACACAUGCAAGUCGAACGGAAAGGCCCUGCUUUUGUGGGGUGCUCGAGUGGCGAACGGGUGAGUAACACGUGAGUAACCUGCCCUUGACUUUGGGAUAACUUCAGGAAACUGGGGCUAAUACCGGAUAGGAGCUCCUGCUGCAUGGUGGGGGUUGGAAAGUUUCGGCGGUUGGGGAUGGACUCGCGGCUUAUCAGCUUGUUGGUGGGGUAGUGGCUUACCAAGGCUUUGACGGGUAGCCGGCCUGGGAGGGUGACCGGCCCAAUUGGACUGAGGGACGGGCCCGGACUCCUCCGGGGGGAAGCGGUGGGAAUUUUUCCACAAGGGGCGGAGGCCGGGGGCAGCAACCCCGGUUCGGGAAGAACGGCCUUGGGGUUGUAACCCGUUUUCGCUUGUAAGGAGGCGUAGUUAACGUAAAUGGUAAAGAAGCACCGGCUAACUACGUG